rnacentral:rRNA from 1 species
UACGGGAGGCAGCAGUGGGGAAUAUUGCACAAUGGGCGCAAGCCUGAUGCAGCCAUGCCGCGUGUAUGAAGAAGGCCUUCGGGUUGUAAAGUACUUUCAGUCGUGAGGAAGGUGUUAAGGUUAAUAACCUUAGCAAUUGACGUUAGCGACAGAAGAAGCACCGGCUAACUCCGUGCCAGCAGCCGCGGUAAUACGGAGGGUGCGAGCGUUAAUCGGAAUUACUGGGCGUAAAGGGCACGCAGGCGGUUAAUUAAGUUGGAUGUGAAAUCCCCGGGCUUAACCUGGGAAUGGCAUUCAAGACUGGUUAGCUAGAGUCUUGUAGAGGGGGUAGAAUUCCAUGUGUAGCGGUGAAAGUGCGUAGAGAUGUGGAGGAAUACCGGUGGCGAAGGCGGCCCCUGGGACAAAGACUGACGCUCAUGUGCGAAAGCGUGGGGAGCAAACAGGGAUUAGAUACC